rnacentral:rRNA from 1 species
UACGUAGGGUGCGAGCGUUAAUCGGAAUUACUGGGCGUAAAGCGUGCGCAGGCGGUGAUGUAAGACAGGUGUGAAAUCCCCGGGCUUAACCUGGGAACUGCAUUUGUGACUGCAUCGCUGGAGUGCGGCAGAGGGGGAUGGAAUUCCGCGUGUAGCAGUGAAAUGCGUAGAUAUGCGGAGGAACAUCGAUGGCGAAGGCAAUCCCCUGGGCCUGCACUGACGCUCAUGCACGAAAGCGUGGGGAGCAAACAGG